CCUACGGGUGGCUGCAGUGGGGGAUAUUGCACAAUGGAGGAAACUCUGAUGCAGCGACGCCGCGUGAGGGAAGACGGUCUUCGGAUUGUAAAACUCCGUCUUUGGGGAAGAAAAUGACGGUACCCAAAGAGGUAGCUCCGGCUAACUACGUUCCAGCAGCCGCGGUAAUACGUAGGGAGCGAGCGUUGUCCGGAAUUACUGGGUGUAAAGGGAGCGUAGGCGGGCGAGAAAGUUGAAUGUUAAAUCUACCGGCUUAACUGGGAGCUGCGGUUAAAACUUGAUGUCUUGAGUGAAGUAGAGGCAGGCGGAAUUCCUAGUGUAGCGGUGAAAUGCGUAGAUAUUAGGAGGAACACCAAUGGCGAAGGCAGCCUGCUGGGCUUUAACUGACGCUGAGGCUCGAAGGCGUGGGGAGCAAACAGGAUUAGAUACCCCGGUAGUC
rnacentral:rRNA from 1 species